GGCUGCCUGGCCCAAUGGUCAAGGCGCUUGCCUACGAUUCCCCAACGUGAGCAAGAGAUUCCAGGUUCGAGUCCUGGGGUGGUCG